rnacentral:rRNA from 1 species
UACGAAGGGGGCUAGCGUUGCUCGGAAUUACUGGGCGUAAAGGGCGCGUAGGCGGAUAGUUUAGUCAGAGGUGAAAGCCCAGGGCUCAACCUUGGAAUUGCCUUUGAUACUGGCUGUCUUGAGUACGGGAGAGGUGAGUGGAACUCCGAGUGUAGAGGUGAAAUUCGUAGAUAUUCGGAAGAACACCAGUGGCGAAGGCGACUCACUGGCCCGUUACUGACGCUGAGGCGCGAAAGCGUGGGGAGCAAACAGG